GUAAUCCUUUGACAUGCCAGUGUGCCGCAGGUUUCACAUCAAACAUCGGCAAAACAAAAUGCCUUAAGAACAUCACCAACACAUGCGCUAAUGUAACGGACUGUAUUCCAAAUGCUGUAUGCUCCGGUUCCCCUUUGACAUGCCAGUGUGCCGCAGAUUUCACACCAAUCACCAACAAAACGAAAUGCCUUAAGAAAAUCACCGAGACAUGCACUGAUGUAGUGGACUGCAUUCCAAAUACUGUAUGUUCCGGUACUGCUUUGACAUGUCAGUGUGCCGCAGGUUUCACAUCAAACAUCGGCAAAACAAAAUGCCUUAAGA